rnacentral:lncRNA from 1 species
AUAAAUAGAUGAAUAAAAUUGAAAUAUUCUCUUAUACAUAGUGGUGUCGAUGUUCUAUAUUUUUACAUUAUCGAUAUUAAAGUGUCGGUGUCAUGUCGUGUCCCGAUAUCUUUGUCAGAGUCGGUGCUUCAUAACUUCCAACCCUUUAGGCUUGUAGCAUCUGUCCAUAUAACCCAAUAAAUUUUAGUCUUACCUUUAGUCCCAUUCUUUAUCAUUUUCAAAUAAUUGGCUGUUCUUCUAUAUUAAAUAAAUGAACCGAACUGAAUUACUUAAUUAAGCAAAAGAUCAUAGAGUUAAUAGCAAGCAAAGCUCCAAAACACUAAUCACAUAUUCUUGCAAUCACAAUAACAUGUUUGAUAUUUCAUCUCCUCCAUCAUUACUUUUUUUUCUUUCACAAUUCACCCACACGACACCUCAUUUACCCAUACUUACACUCUUCCAUAAACAUAAAUAUAUAUAUAUAUAAAAAAAACUUGCUGCCACUCUAAGCAAUUAACAAAGGUGUCCCUUAGAAAUAUAUAACAUCUUGUGCAUCACAUCAAGCUAAAAAAAACACCAAAAUGACAAUCAUCAUGAGAAAAACAUUGUUAACACUAUUAUUGUUAUCAUCAAUUUUCUCAAUAGCCAACUCAUCAAAAAGAAGAUCAAGAUCUUCCAACAACAACAUAGAUUGGUGGUGUAACCAAACACCACACCCACAAGCAUGCAAAUACUACACAAAACAAACCCAUUACUAUCACAACAAAAACAUCAAACACAAAUCAAAAUUCCGAGAGAUUCUCAUCCAUUUAGCAUUAGAAAGAGCAGUGAUCAUGCGAAACACAGCACGCGAAUUCGGACAAAACAACUCGAUCAUAAACAAGAAACAGAAAACGGUUUCACGUGACUGUUUGAAACUCUACGACAACACAGUUUUUCAUCUCAACCGAACAUUCUCAAAUCUCCAUGUCAAGAAAACAUGUUCCUCAUUCGAUGCACAAACAUGGUUAAGCACUGCUUAUACAAACAUUGAAACAUGUCGAAACGGGGCAUUAGACUUAAACAUUCCAAAUUUCAUCACACCAAUUAUGAAAGUAAACAUGACAGAGAUCAUAAGCAAUGGUUUGUUCAUCAACUGGGAGUUCGUUAAACGCGACGGCCGUGUUCGUUACACCGACGAUGUUAACGAUGAGGCGUUUCCGAGGUGGUUUUCGGUUCGGGAGAGGAAGCUUCUGGAAAGUUCUAGGGUUAUUAAGGCGAAUCUUGUUGUCGCGAAAGAUGGUUCGGGGCAUUUUAGGAAAAUUCAAGAGGCUAUAAAUGCUGCUGGGAGGAGAAGGAUUAAGACAAGAUUUGUUAUACGUGUGAAGAGAGGGGUUUAUAGAGAGAAUAUUGAAGUUGGGAAGAUGAAUGAUAAUAUUAUGUUGGUUGGUGAUGGAAAUAGGAACACGAUAAUAACAAGUAGUAGAAAUGUUAAAGCUGGUUUUACUACCUAUAGUUCUGCAACUGCUGGUGAGUAUCAUAAGACUUUUCUUUC